rnacentral:rRNA from 1 species
GGGUUGUGAGGUUAAGCGACUAAGCGUACACGGUGGAUGCCCUGGCAGUCAGAGGCGAUGAAGGACGUGCUAAUCUGCGAUAAGCGUCGGUAAGGUGAUAUGAACCGUUAUAACCGGCGAUUUCCGAAUGGGGAAACCCAGUGUGUUUCGACACACUAUCAUUAACUGAAUCCAUAGGUUAAUGAGGCGAACCGGGGGAACUGAAACAUCUAAGUACCCCGAGGAAAAGAAAUCAACCGAGAUUCCCCCAGUAGCGGCGAGCGAACGGGGAGCAGCCCAGAGCCUGAAUCAGUGUGUGUGUUAGUGGAAGCGUCUGGAAAGGCGCGCGAUACAGGGUGACAGCCCCGUACACAAAAAUGCACAUAUUGUGAGCUCGAUGAGUAGGGCGGGACACGUGGUAUCCUGUCUGAAUAUGGGGGGACCAUCCUCCAAGGCUAAAUACUCCUGACUGACCGAUAGUGAACCAGUACCGUGAGGGAAAGGCGAAAAGAACCCCGGCGAGGGGAGUGAAAAAGAACCUGAAACCGUGUACGUACAAGCAGUGGGAGCACGCUUAGGCGUGUGACUGCGUACCUUUUGUAUAAUGGGUCAGCGACUUAUAUUCUGUAGCAAGGUUAACCGAAUAGGGGAGCCGAAGGGAAACCGAGUCUUAACUGGGCGUUAAGUUGCAGGGUAUAGACCCGAAACCCGGUGAUCUAGCCAUGGGCAGGUUGAAGGUUGGGUAACACUAACUGGAGGACCGAACCGACUAAUGUUGAAAAAUUAGCGGAUGACUUGUGGCUGGGGGUGAAAGGCCAAUCAAACCGGGAGAUAGCUGGUUCUCCCGAAAGCUAUUUAGGUAGCGCCUCGUGAAUUCAUCUCCGGGGGUAGAGCACUGUUUCGGCAAGGGGGUCAUCCCGACUUACCAACCCGAUGCAAACUGCGAAUACCGGAGAAUGUUAUCACGGGAGACACACGGCGGGUGCUAACGUCCGUCGUGAAGAGGGAAACAACCCAGACCGCCAGCUAAGGUCCCAAAGUCAUGGUUAAGUGGGAAACGAUGUGGGAAGGCCCAGACAGCCAGGAUGUUGGCUUAGAAGCAGCCAUCAUUUAAAGAAAGCGUAAUAGCUCACUGGUCGAGUCGGCCUGCGCGGAAGAUGUAACGGGGCUAAACCAUGCACCGAAGCUGCGGCAGCGACGCUUAUGCGUUGUUGGGUAGGGGAGCGUUCUGUAAGCCUGCGAAGGUGUGCUGUGAGGCAUGCUGGAGGUAUCAGAAGUGCGAAUGCUGACAUAAGUAACGAUAAAGCGGGUGAAAAGCCCGCUCGCCGGAAGACCAAGGGUUCCUGUCCAACGUUAAUCGGGGCAGGGUGAGUCGACCCCUAAGGCGAGGCCGAAAGGCGUAGUCGAUGGGAAACAGGUUAAUAUUCCUGUACUUGGUGUUACUGCGAAGGGGGGACGGAGAAGGCUAUGUUGGCCGGGCGACGGUUGUCCCGGUUUAAGCGUGUAGGCUGGUUUUCCAGGCAAAUCCGGAAAAUCAAGGCUGAGGCGUGAUGACGAGGCACUACGGUGCUGAAGCAACAAAUGCCCUGCUUCCAGGAAAAGCCUCUAAGCAUCAGGUAACAUCAAAUCGUACCCCAAACCGACACAGGUGGUCAGGUAGAGAAUACCAAGGCGCUUGAGAGAACUCGGGUGAAGGAACUAGGCAAAAUGGUGCCGUAACUUCGGGAGAAGGCACGCUGAUAUGUAGGUGAAGUCCCUCGCGGAUGGAGCUGAAAUCAGUCGAAGAUACCAGCUGGCUGCAACUGUUUAUUAAAAACACAGCACUGUGCAAACACGAAAGUGGACGUAUACGGUGUGACGCCUGCCCGGUGCCGGAAGGUUAAUUGAUGGGGUCAGCGCAAGCGAAGCUCUUGAUCGAAGCCCCGGUAAACGGCGGCCGUAACUAUAACGGUCCUAAGGUAGCGAAAUUCCUUGUCGGGUAAGUUCCGACCUGCACGAAUGGCGUAAUGAUGGCCAGGCUGUCUCCACCCGAGACUCAGUGAAAUUGAACUCGCUGUGAAGAUGCAGUGUACCCGCGGCAAGACGGAAAGACCCCGUGAACCUUUACUAUAGCUUGACACUGAACAUUGAGCCUUGAUGUGUAGGAUAGGUGGGAGGCUUGGAAGUGUGGACGCCAGUCUGCAUGGAGCCGACCUUGAAAUACCACCCUUUAAUGUUUGAUGUUCUAACGUUGACCCGUGAUCCGGGUUGCGGACAGUGUCUGGUGGGUAGUUUGACUGGGGCGGUCUCCUCCUAAAGAGUAACGGAGGAGCACGAAGGUUGGCUAAUCCUGGUCGGACAUCAGGAGGUUAGUGCAAUGGCAUAAGCCAGCUUGACUGCGAGCGUGACGGCGCGAGCAGGUGCGAAAGCAGGUCAUAGUGAUCCGGUGGUUCUGAAUGGAAGGGCCAUCGCUCAACGGAUAAAAGGUACUCCGGGGAUAACAGGCUGAUACCGCCCAAGAGUUCAUAUCGACGGCGGUGUUUGGCACCUCGAUGUCGGCUCAUCACAUCCUGGGGCUGAAGUAGGUCCCAAGGGUAUGGCUGUUCGCCAUUUAAAGUGGUACGCGAGCUGGGUUUAGAACGUCGUGAGACAGUUCGGUCCCUAUCUGCCGUGGGCGCUGGAGAACUGAGGGGGGCUGCUCCUAGUACGAGAGGACCGGAGUGGACGCAUCACUGGUGUUCGGGUUGUCAUGCCAAUGGCACUGCCCGGUAGCUAAAUGCGGAAGAGAUAAGUGCUGAAAGCAUCUAAGCACGAAACUUGCCCCGAGAUGAGUUCUCCCUGACUCCUUGAGAGUCCUGAAGGAACGUUGAAGACGACGACGUUGAUAGGCCGGGUGUGUAAGCGCAGCGAUGCGUUGAGCUAACCGGUACUAAUGAACCGUGAGGCUUAACCUUACAACGCCGAAGCUGUU